CGGUGGCUGCGGGGCAUCUCCUGGCCGGAGCGCAGGAUGCAGGAGGCUGCGUAGAAGGUUCCUAAGUGGAUGCUGAUGACUCGAUCCCGCGGGAUUCGGACAUGCACAAGGGUACCAUGAACUGAGAAAGUGGCGUCCAACCUCUUUUUUUUUUUUUU